rnacentral:rRNA from 1 species
ACAGAUGGACCCGCGGCGCAUUAGCUAGUUGGUGAGGUAACGGCUCACCAAGGCGACGAUGCGUAGCCGACCUGAGAGGGUGAUCGGCCACACUGGGACUGAGACACGGCGCAGACUCCUACGGGAGGCAGCAGUAGGGAAUCUUCCGCAAUGGACCGAAAGUCUGACGGAGCAACGCCGCGUGAGUGAUGAAGGUUUUCGGAUCGUAAAGCUCUGUUGUUAGGGAAGAACAAGUGCCGUUCAAAUAGGGCGGCACCUUGACGGUACCUAACCAGAAAGCCACGGCUAACUACGUGCCAGCAGCCGCGGUAAUACGUAGGUGGCAAGCGUUGUCCGGAAUUAUUGGGCGUAAAGGGCUCGCAGGCGGUUUCUUAAGUCUGAUGUGAAAGCCCCCGGCUCAACCGGGGAGGGUCAUUGGAAACUGGGGAACUUGAGUGCAGAAGAGGAGAGUGGAAUUUCCACGUGUAGCGGUGAAAUGCGUAGAGAUGUGGAGGAACACCAGUGGCGAAGGCGACUCUCUGGUCUGUAACUGACGCUGAGGAGCGAAAGCGUGGGGAGCGAACAGGAUUAGAUACCCUGGUAGUCCACGCCGUAAACGAUGAGUGCUAAGUGUUAGGGGGUUUCCGCCCCUUAGUGCUGCAGCUAACGCAUUAAGCACUCCGCCUGGGGAGUACGGUCGCAAGACUGAAACUCAAAGGAAUUGACGGGGGCCCGCACAAGCGGUGGAGCAUGUGGUUUAAUUCGAAGCAACGCGAAGAACCUUACCAGGUCUUGACAUCCUCUGACAAUCCUAGAGAUAGGACGUCCCCUUCGGGGGCAGAGUGACAGGUGGUGCAUGGUUGUCGUCAGCUCGUGUCGUGAGAUGUUGGGUUAAGUCCCGCAACGAGCGCAACCCUUGAUCUUAGUUGCCAGCAUUCAGUUGGGCACUCUAAGGUGACUGCCGGUGACAAACCGGAGGAAGGUGGGGAUGACGUCAAAUCAUCAUGCCCCUUAUGACCUGGGCUACACACGUGCUACAAUGGACAGAACAAAGGGCAGCGAAACCGCGAGGUUAAGCCAAUCCCACAAAUCUGUUCUCAGUUCGGAUCGCAGUCUGCAACUCGACUGCGUGAAGCUGGAAUCGCUAGUAAUCGCGGAUCAGCAUGCCGCGGUGAAUACGUUCCCGGGCCUUGUACACACCGCCCGUCACACCACGAGAGUUUGUAACACCCGAA